CACGUAGGGCGCAAGCGUUGUCCGGAACUAUUGGGCGUAAAGAGCUCGUAGGUGGUUUGUUACGUCUGCUGUGAAAACCUAGGGCUUAACCCUGGGCUUGCAGUGGAUACGGGCAGACUAGAGGUAGGUAGGGGAGAAUGGAAUUCCUGGUGUAGCGGUGAAAUGCGCAGAUAUCAGGAGGAACACCGGUGGCGAAGGCAGAUCUCUGGGCCGUAACUGACGCUGAGGAGCGAAAGCGUGGGGAGCGAACAGG
rnacentral:rRNA from 1 species